GCAGAACACCGCCUGGGGGCGUAGAUCCCUGUGGCUAGGAAGCCCGCUUCCCACGCCGUGAUCUUGGGUUUGUCGUGACCCCCGAACUCGCCACCAGCUCCCACGGCCUGGUCCUUGGAGCCCGAGGGUGGCAGAGGAGCGCCGCCGCGCUGAUAAUGAAUGUCUCCCUCGACGGGAGCUUCUGCGCCCUCGUCUCCGCAGGGCUCGCCUUCCGAUUUCAGGAUGUCCAUCUGCAGGCCCUGGCGAUGCUCAAAGUCGAGAUCGUCGCAGUGCGCGAAGCCCACCGCUUCCUCAUCGGUGGCCGCCUGAAACCCCAUCCUGGCAAACAUGCCGCUCACCUUGGCCUGGGACUUGUUGGACACGGAGGUGGCCACAUUGGUCAGCUUGCUGCGGAGGAGGGUGGCCAUGGCGGCGGCGGGGCGGGAGAAAAGGACAGAAGGGUCUGGGGACGCGGCGGGCGCGCGUCAAGGCAGCGAGGACCGCUAUCUCCGCUGGGUCUCGGCGCGGCGCCCCAGGGCGCUCUGGCUCAUGACCCUCGCGCCUAACGUUCGAGGCUGGCCCCGUCACGACAGUCUGGCUCUUGGUGGGACCGGCCCGAGAGACGACGAGUGCACUGCAGAGCUGGUGCGGGUGCCGGCUGGGCUGCGGAGGGCGGCGGCGACGGCAGCGUCAGAACAGCUACGCGAGGCUGGCGCGGCGCCCCCACGCGGGCGCAGCCCAAUGCGCUCGCACCCCUCG
rnacentral:lncRNA from 1 species